GAGUUUGAUUAUGGCUCAGGACGAACGCCGGCGGCGCGCUUAACACAUGCAAGUCGUGCGAUACCCUCGAGCAAGUCUUACGACAAGCUCAAGGUGUAGCGGCGGACGGGUGAGUAACACGUGAGUAGCUGUCCUAAGGAGGGGGAUAACGCCUGGAAAACGGGGUGCUAAAACCCCAUAUGCCUCGCAAGAGGUGAAAGUGUAGCUUGCUACAGCCUUAGGGUGUGCUCGCGGCCUAUCAGCUAGUUGGUGAGGUAACGGCUCACCAAGGCUAAGACGGGUAGCCGGCCUGAGAGGGUGUACGGCCACACUGGAAUUGAGAUACGGUCCAGACUCCUACGGGAGGCAGCAGUGGGGAAUCUUGGGCAAUGGGCGAAAGCCUGACCCAGCGACGCCGCGUUGGGGAUGAAGCCCUUCGGGGUGUAAACCCAUGUUGUAGGGGACGAAGAAAGUGACGGUACCCUACGAGGAAGCCCCGGCUAACUACGUGCCAGCAGCCGCGGUAAGACGUAGGGGGCGAGCGUUGUCCGGAAUUACUGGGCGUAAAGGGCACGCAGGCGGUGCGCCAAGUCGAGGGUGUAAAGUUACGGCUCAACCGUGACAUUGCAAUCGAUACUGGCGCACUGGAGUGCGGGAGAGGGAAGUGGAAUUCCCGGUGUAGCGGUGAAAUGCGUAGAUAUCGGGAGGAACGCCAGUGGCGAAGGCGGCUUCCUGGCCCGCGACUGACGCUCAUGUGCGAAAGCCAGGGGAGCGAACCGGAUUAGAUACCCUGGUAGUC
rnacentral:rRNA from 1 species